UACACACCGCCCGUCACACCAUGGAAGUUGGUUGCACCAGAAGUAGGCAGCUUAACCUUCGGGAGGGCGCUUACAACGGUGUGGCUAAUGACUGGGGUG
rnacentral:rRNA from 1 species